UCGGUAUAGUAUCUACUAUCUAGUAUCGUAUCGGUUCUAAUAUCUGUUUUUCUCUCUAAGCACGAGUUGUACCGCGAUCAACGUCACCUGUUUGCCACGAGACGCACGUAAUCUACUGCACACGCUAUCGGACAGAGCGUCUCCACUCUGCAAUGUUCACGUAGCACAAGAAAUCGCGGCAGCGACGACGCCCGCUGGCCCAACGACGCGCUGGAGGCGGCCCUCCAGCGUUUCCGCGACGGCCUCGCCCCAGACGGCGACGAGUGGGACGACAUGCCGGGCCUCGCCCCAAUUGACGAGCUAUGGGACGACCUGCCGGGGCUUGGCCCACUCGACGGGAAUAGGGUCGACCUGCCGGGGCUCAUCCCAAUCGGCGAUUGGGACGUCCACUACCACGCCCCAUACGGCAGGCCCCCGACACCCGACCACAACGACGACCGGCAAGACGAGGACCCACACGGAGA